GCUCUAUUACUUCCGGUUAUUGUGGUGAAGAAAACGCCGAAAGACAAAAAUGGCAGAUAGUGAUGAUGAAUAUGACAGAAGAAAAGGCCGUGAAAAAUUUAGAAGGGAAAGAAAUGAUUAUGAAAGGCGAGAAGAAAGAAGAGGUCGCGAUCCUAGAGAAUCUUGGGACAGAGAAAGUCGAUCAUCUGGGCGAGCUAGAGAGGCCUGGAGCAGUAGAAGUAGAGAAAGACAUGAUCCUUACAGAGAAUAUGAAGCAAGGAGACGGGAGAGAUACAGCCCAAGCACACGAAGGGAUAUGAGUCCACCCCACGCUAAACGAAUGAGACAUGAUUGGGAUGAUCAAGGAUAUCCUCCGUAUGAGAUGGGGGGAUAUGGGGGAGCACCCAUGCAGCCACCCCCUAGCUGGGGUCCUUCACCAGACAUGAGAGGCCCUCCACAGGCAGAUUUCAACCCAGGACAAGGAGGAGGAAGAGACUUAGACUUUCCCACCCAGCCACCAAUGUUGACAUUUAAACAGUUUCUGUCGCAGCAAGAGGACAAUAUCAGCGACCAGGAUGCCAUUAAAAAAUAUAAUGAAUACAAAGACGAGUUUAAAAGACAACAAAUUAACGAGUUCUUCUUGGCACACAAAGAGGAAGAAUGACGAGAAGAGGAUUAGCAAAUGCAAUGCAUGUUUCCUUUUUAAUGAUGGAAACGAAGCUGCUGUCGAUACUUCUUGGAGAAUAUUCUUCGCGAUCUUUAUUUCGAUACGCUGCGCACAAUGCAGUGUUUACUAUUUUGAAAGUGUUAGGGUAGGGUGUUAGGCUUUUGUACAAGUUUACGUGCCAGACAUAACCACCACUGCCUUGUGCAGGGUAACCAGUGAAUCGGGUAGAUGCCUCAGGUUUAAGAUAAAAUAUCACCCAGAGGAAUGCGAGAAGAGGAACAGAGAAGUGAAGAAAGCCCUCCAACACCGCUGUAAUGUCUACAUGGGGCUAAUGGAUUCGGGAAGGAUAGAGGAAACCUGGGUCGAUUUCGAGAAGUCUGAUGAACUUGUCAAAUUGCUGGAUGCUGCUGUCAUCAAGAUGGAAGGAGGGACUGAUUUUGAUAUGACAGUUCUGGAUCAGGCAACAGAAGAGGAGCGGGAUGGAAACAGGAGUCGCAAUAACUCCGAGUCAGCACCACUGGAAAGUCCUGAUGAAAAGAAAAAGAGAAAGAGAUCUGUUUCAUCAGACAAAAAACCAGAUGAACCACUAAAACUACCCAUAUCAGGUGAACAGAAAGAGCUCAUGAAACAAGCUCAGGAGUUUUCUAAGCAGCAACAGGCCAAGAAUGGAAGUGAAUCCAGCUCUCCUGUCCCUGAAGAAAGCACUGUUAAAGAAACAAAGAAACCAAAGAAAAAGAAGCGACACAGGGAUAAGACAGGCUAUGAUUACGAGAGUGGGUCAGAGUCUGAGAGCGACUCCGAGUCUGAACCUGUUCCCCCCGGACUGGAGGAGUCUGGAGAAAUAGUUGAAGGAGAAAAGUCUGAGGAUGGAGACGAACAAAAUGUGUCCUCAUCAACGGAGACCUCCAAAGCAAAAGAGGAGGAAACUCCAAAAGAAGCUAAUAUGUCAGAUGGAGAGGAGAAAGACCAGGACACAACAGAGGAGAAAGCCAAGAAUGACAAAAAAGACACUGUCCCCAAACCAAGGGCUCUUCACAAAACCUCCUCCAUCUUCCUCAGAAAUCUGGCUCCCUCCAUCACCAAGCAAGAAGUGGAAGCUAUGUGUAAGAGAUAUCCCGGAUUUGUUAGAGUGGCCCUCCAGGACCCUCAGCCUGAGAGGAGGUUCUUCAGAAGAGCCUGGGUGACAUUUGAGAGGGAUGUCAACAUCAAAGAGAUUUGCUGGAACCUGAACAACAUCAGGCUGAGGGACUGUGAACUUGGGGCUACAUUAAAUCGUGAACUCAAACAGAGAGUGCGACCUGUCAAUGGAAUCUCGGCUCACAAACAAGUGGUCCGUGCCGACAUUAAACAAGCAGCCAAAAUCAUUCAGAUCUUGGACUCCAAAUGGGGAAUGUGGGAGGACCCCGAGGAAGAAAAGAAGGACAAAUCUAAAGAGGGCUCUUUUAGUUUUACAUCCAAGAAUCCUGUACUAAAGAACAUUACAGAUUACCUUGUGGAAGAGGGAAGUUUUGAAGAGGAAGAAUUACUUGGUGAGAAGAUGGAAGAAGGAGAAAAAGAAUCCAACAAUGAAGUGACCGUGGAGAGAGAUGAGCGCAUGAUCAAGGCUUUGGACAGGAUGAUUUUAUACCUGAGGAUUGUGUACUCCAUUGAUUAUUACAGUGCUAAUGAGUAUCCUAACGAGGAUGAGAUGCCACACAGGUGUGGCAUCAUGCAUUCUCGAGGGGUACCACCAACAACUAAAAUUACCCAACAGGAUGUGAAUGACUGGAUCACAAACACAGAAAACAAGUUGAAGCAGUUUACAGAGGUUGUAGAAAAAUUAUCAGAGGAAGAUUCCAUCAAAUUCGGCAGGAAAGAUCCAGAGGCAUAAGUGGAGAAGUUUGUGACCCUGAAUACUCAGGAACUCUCCAAAGACAAGUGGCUGUGUCCCAUCAGUGGCAAGAAAUUCAAGGGCCCGGAGUUUGUCAGGAAGCACAUCUUUAACAAGCAUGGGGAAAAGGUGGAUGAAGUCAGGACUGAGGUGACCUUUUUCAAUAAUUACCUGGUUGACCCUAAACGACCUGCUUUACAAGAACAUCCUAAGAAUAAACAGAAGGAGGGAUCUGGUAGGGAGCAGUUCACCAGCCCCAACACUGGCUACCAGGCCCCUCCCCAGCAGGGAAUGAUGGGAUACAACCAGCCAAUGGCACCACCAAUGAGGAAUUACGGAUCUGGUGGGAAUGCUCCACACCAUUACCCAAACCCUGGGGGGUAUGGAGGUCACGACUACCGGGGUGACUACCGAAGAUCUGGGGGAGGAUACAGAGGACAUUUCAGAUCCAAUAAUGCUAUGAAGCGGAAUUCUGAACAUCGCAGAUCUGAUCCAAGGGGAAUAAUCGAGUAUCGUGACCUGGAUGCACCGGAUGACGGCGACAUUUUCUGAGGAUGCGGUGUAGGGGGCGGGUACCUUAUAGUUGGAGCAUACAUUAUCAAAGACUCGUUUGCCAGACUUGUAGAUAGUAAUGUUGUGAGCUGUCUUAUAGUGAUGUAGCUGACAUUUUUUAUUAUCAAAUAUUGGAGCUAAUACAUUUCUGUUAAAAACAUUUGAUGGAAUGUCAGUAAAAGUUGAUGCUUUUUAACAAAUUUUUAAUAAAUUUCGUCGUAACGUGCAGGUUGCAAGUACUUCAGCAAAAAAUAUUGAUUAUAAAAUUUGGAAUUGUAGUGCAAAGAUGUGCAUGUCAGGUUUUAUUGCAAUACUUGUAUUUAUGUUGACCUUUAUAUCACCCAUACUCAUACCAUAAAGCACAGUUUUAAUGAUUCAUUUUGUGUUUCUGGCACUUGUGAAUAAAUUAAUCAUGUUUG
rnacentral:misc_RNA from 1 species